CACUUAUUUGAUUAUUUAUCAUCACUGGCAUUGGCCCUGAUCCCAACAUUAUGCUACCAGUUGAAGGGUCUGAAGUUGUAGUCAUUAUUGGGCUGGAACCUAUAUCUUUCCGAUUCAAAGUCUUUGAUGCUAUCCAUUGCGUUGACCCACGUAUGUGAUCGCCCAGUAAACAAGAUAUUAAAAAGAAUUGAAAAAUUUUACGGUCAAAUGGAUUACCGAAUGAAAAUCUUAAGGUACUUCAAGUAAAUCAAGGAAAAUGAAUUUAAUCAAAAUUUCAGUAAAUCAAACUUGUACUAGAAAAAAUAGAAAAGAGAGGAGAGAGGAACACAAAACAGAAUAACCUGUUCAGAAAAAGUGAAAAAUAAUUUGAUUUGAAAACUAAAUAAAUCUGAUAAAAUGAAAUUGUUUCUAAAGAAUUUAAAUAAAAAAAAUAGUAAUUUUAAUAUAAAUAUUGUGUACGAGCGUAAAAAAUAAAUUUGUUUUAUGAUGAACUUUUUAAAAAAAAUAAAAUUUCAAUAACAAAUUUUGAGCUUUUUAAGUUGUAUAUGAAUCAUAAAAGUUUUUAAAAUAAUAACAAUUUUUGCAUUAGGCUACCCAAACAAGUUCCCGAUUAGAUCUCGAUGUGACAAAACCAGUAAAAGUCAUUCAAUUUUGCAUUGGGCUCUUCCAAAAGGUUCCCAAUCAGAUUCCACUUAGGAAAAAUUGGGUACCUUAGUUAGGUAACUAGUUUUUGGAUUGGGAUAUCUCAAAAAGUUCCCAAUCGGGUUCUGACUGGGGUAGACCUUCUGAACAUGCUAUAGCGAUUUCCAAUUGGGACCCAAUAUCUGUAUUGGAACAAUUUCUAGUCAGGAAAUAUUUUUCCCCGAAAUAUAAUCAACUGUUCAAAGAGUAAAAUGAACUUUCCUUAAGAAUAAUCAAUUUUGAAUCGAGAUGAUCUGUGAUUCUAAUCAAAAAUAAAAAAUAUUUAACUUAAUGGUAAGAAAUGUCUCGGUUUAAGUAUUUUAUAGUGUUGCGGCAAGUAAACGUCGACGUUUAAACCAACAGCAACUGCGCUCACGGCUCAAUGCAAAAAUUCUCUUGGGAAAGUUAACUGUACUGUACUAAAGUGGCGCUAGUGUAGACUUCACAUUGUACAAUGUGCUCAAUAGAUAAAGGUAAAGUAAACGAACACUCAAGAAGGAUCGGAUAGCAUAACUGGUAAAGCUCUCGCGUGAUGUCAAAUCAGUCUAGGUUCGAUUCCUAUCAUGAAUGAACCAUUUACUUUUCUCAAAUUGUUCAUAAACCAUUAGUUGCGGAAGUUUAUUCCUUAUCUCUUCUACUACCAUAUUAUAAUAUUCUGAAUAUAUACAUACACUUUCCUGCUUCACAGCAUUUAAUAUUUAUACUAGGUUAAACUCACUUAAAAAUAUGGUAACACGACUUUAUCUCUCUGAACAAAAUCUUCCCGACAAAAGCUCCUUGGCUAAAUCUCUCCACGACAAACUCCUCCUCUCCAGGAUAAAAUUUCUAAAAUAAUUUUCAUCAGUCCAAUCCCUGAUGGCCAUACUAUCACUUCAAAAAUUUGACGUUCAGUAAUUUUGAUUAACUUGCCGGGGGAUCAAAACUUCUGAUACCGAUAAAAUUUUAAUUUUUUUAUAUUUUUUCAUAAUAUUAAUUUUUAUCAGAUUGAAAUAGCACCAAUGUCUAAAAUUUAUUUCCCUAUGAAUCAGAGGGUGAUGUAUUUGAUACUGAAGUGCCAUCAUCUCACCCAACCACCACAUCAUCUGAUUCAUUAUCAUUUCCAUUAAAAACGACAUUAACAAAAAUUUUGGUCGUCCAUCUUCUGUGCUCUAUCAAAAAAGUGCAAACACCACGCUAACGUCAGCAAUGUUCGAGACAUUAACGAAGUUUAUAAAAGACGAGUUCAGCAAGCUUCAUGCUCGCAUUGAUCGUGUUACGAGCCAACAUUCUACGGCCACGUUAACAGUAUUUGUGUUAAUCAAUCAAUUAAUGUAACGGGACCGAAGUCCACCUCUGUUUUACUGAAUGCCAUUUCCGCGCCCUUUUGGGCAUACAUGAGUCCUACCUCUCUUGGGCCAAACACUACUUUCAUCUCAGGAAAUAAAGAGACUCUGGCCGCAGUGGGCUUAGAAAGGCCCCCCGUGGUACUAGACUCCCAGCGCUGGUCAACAUGGUUGUUUAUGGAAGUGGUGGGACGCCACUUCUUCACAUACCCUAUCUAAAGAGCUUCCUCCACUUGUACAUUCGUGUUAGCAUAAUUUGACACUCAGUGGAUGCAAAUCAUUGAUGAGAGACUAGAUCUCUGAAUAGUAGUCCAAACCAACACUAAUCACGUCGUAGACUUCAAGAUACAGUUGGAAUCUCUAAAAAUACCACCAGCUAUUGAAGAACCUAACUCCAUCACCACACGGAGAAAAUUUUUUUGUUUUGAUUGCUAUGGUUUCAUAGUAAUACCGUUCCAUAUUGGUCACCUGUUGGAAAUUUAAAUAAACACAUGCAAAAAUCACUAUACCCGUAGUAAAAUCGAGAACGACUAUUUUACAAAAAAUUAUUUGAAAAGUUCAAAAAUAACAUUUUAUGUUAUUUUUUUCCGGCUAAAUCAUAAUAUAAUGUACUAAAAUGUGUUUGAAAUUAUACCAACUCUUCCUCUUAAUGGUCUCUUUCGAUCAUCAUAUAAUGUCAUCUAACUUGUUCUUUAGUUAAAACCAUAUUAUCAACAAAAAAUUAAAAAAACACAGUUUUCAAUAAUUUUCUCAGAUAUUUCAUAUAUUAUUGUUCUGACCUGAAUCAAAAAUCAUUAAAAUCUUGAUUUUGAUCGAGAAAAAAACCGUUAAAAACUAAAGUUUUUUUUGUUUACUGUUAAAUAAGUAGUUAUUUUUUGGA